rnacentral:rRNA from 1 species
GACGUAGGUGGCGAACGUUAUCCGGAAUUAUUGGGCGUAAAGGGUGCGUAGAUGGCCUGAUAAGUUAGCAGUGGGAAAUCGAGGCUCAACCUCGUGGAAGCUGGUAAUACUGUCAGGCUCGAGUGCAGGAGAGGUUAACGGAACUCCAUGUGGAGCGGUAAAAUGUGUAGAUAUCUGGAGGAACAUCAGUGGCGAAGGCGGCUUCCUGGUCCAACACUGACACUGAGGUGCGAAAGCGUGGGGAGCAAACAGG